CCGUAUGGGACGCGGAGGGACAUUACCGAGUUUACAACUCCCAAACCCCUGUGAACUUUACCAAUCGUUGCCUCGGCGGACCGCCCCGGCGCCCUAGGGCCCGGACCAAGGCGCCCGCCGGAGGACCCAAACUCUUGUCUUUACAGUGAAUUCUGAGUGGCAUAAGCAAAAAUAAAAUCAAAACUUUCAACAACGGAUCUCUUGGUUCUGGCAUCGAUGAAGAACGCAGCGAAAUGCGAUAAGUAAUGUGAAUUGCAGAAUUCAGUGAAUCAUCGAAUCUUUGAACGCACAUUGCGCCCGCCAGUAUUCUGGCGGGCAUGCCUGUCCGAGCGUCAUUUCAACCCUCAGGGCCCCUUCGGGGGACCUGGCGUUGGGGAUCGGCCGCCGAGCGCACACGCGCCGCGGCCGGCCCCGAAAUCCAGUGGCGGCCUCGCUGUAGCGUCUCCUGCGUAGUAGAAACACCUCGCAGCGGAACGCGGCGACGGCCCCGCCGUAAAACCCCCCAACUUUCUGACGUUGACCUCGGAUCAGGUAGGAAUACCCGCUGAACUUAAGCAUAUCAUAAACCGGAAGGAA
rnacentral:rRNA from 1 species